rfam:Myotis brandtii contig166070, whole genome shotgun sequence.
GAGCAAUGAUGACAAGGUUUGACUACUGAAAUUCACAAUUAUGAAGGUUUCUAUACUUGAUCUGAGCUCA